rnacentral:rRNA from 1 species
UGAGGAAUAUUGGGCAAUGCCCGCAAGGGUGACCCAGCAACGCCGCGUGGAGGAUGAAUGUCGUAAGAUUGUAAACUCCUGUUAGAGGGGAAGAAUAGUACCGGUUGGACCGGUAUAUGACUGUACCCUCAGAGAAAGCCCCGGCUAACUACGUGCCAGCAGCCGCGGUAAUACGUAGGGGGCAAGCGUUGUCCGGAUUUACUGGGUGUAAAGGGCGCGCAGGCGGGAUAAAAAGUCAGUGGUGAAAUCCUACAGCUUAACUGUAGAACUGCCUUUGAUACUUUUAUUCUUGAGUUUGGGAGAGAGAGACGGAAUUCCAGGUGUAGUGGUGAAAUACGUAGAUAUCUGGAAGAACACCAGUUGCGAAGGCGGUCUCUUGGUCCGACACUGACGCUGAGGCGCGAAAGCGUGGGGAGCAAACA